AGUGAAGCGGGAUGAGCUCAAAUUUAAAAUCUGGCUGGUUUACCAGUCCGAGUUGUAGUUUAAAGAAGCGUUUUCGGUGGCAGGCCGGGUAUAAAUCCUUUGGAACAGGGUAUCAUAGAGGGUGAGAAUCCCGUCUUUGACUCGGCUGAUGUUACUAUGUGAUACGUUUUCAAAGAGUCGAGUUGUUUGGGAAUGCAGCUCAAAAUGGGUGGUAAAUUUCAUCUAAGGCUAAAUAUUGGCGAGAGACCGAUAGCGAACAAGUACCGUGAGGGAAAGAUGAAAAGAACUUUGAAAAGAGAGUUAAACAGUGCGUGAAAUUGUUGAAAGGGAAACGUUUGACACCAGCUAUGUAGGCGGAAAAUCAGUCAAGCGCAGUGAGGGGCUGGUGUUUGUCCGGACCGCAAGGCCGGCGGAUAUCUCAUCUUUGCUGUGGGUGAUGCACUUUUUCGUUCGCAGGUCAACAUCAGUUUCGCUUGCUGGACAAAACCCCGAGAGAAGGUAGCAGCUUUGGCUGUGUUAUAGCUCUGGGGCGAUACAGUGGGUGGGACUGAGGAUUCGCAGUGUGUGCUCUCGGGCAAGGCUGACUGGGUGCUCUGGGGUCGUUUGGCGUACAAUGCUUGCAUUUUGCGUCUUGUCUUCUUCAGACUCGCUUAGUUCGGCUCUUCCACGCUUAGGAUGUUGACUUAAUGGUUUUAAACGACCCGUCUUGAAACACGGACCAAGGAGUCUAACAUGCAUGCAAGUGUUUGGGUGGCAAACCCAUGCGCGUAAUGAAAGUGAACGUAGGUGCGAUCCGCAAGGUGCAGCAUCGACCGAUCUUGAUAUUUUUGGAUAGAUUUGAGUAAGAGCAUGUAUGCUGGGACCCGAAAGAUGGUGAACUAUGCCUGAAUAGGGUGAAGCCAGAGGAAACUCUGGUGGAGGCUCGUAGCGAUUCUGACGUGCAAAUCGAUCGUCAAAUUUGGGUAUAGGGGCGAAAGACUAAUCGACCAUC
rnacentral:rRNA from 2 species